UGGGUUGUAGCUCAGUAGUAGAGUAUUUACCUGGCAUGUGUGAGGCACUGGGUUCAAUCCCCAGCAUCACAU
rnacentral:tRNA from 1 species